rnacentral:rRNA from 1 species
UACGUAGGGUGCAAGCGUUAAUCGGAAUUACUGGGCGUAAAGCGUGCGCAGGCGGUUGUGCAAGACAGAUGUGAAAUCCCCGGGCUUAACCUGGGAAUUGCAUUUGUGACUGCCCGGCUAGAGUGUGGCAGAGGGGGGUAGAAUUCCACGUGUAGCAGUGAAAUGCGUAGAUAUGUGGAGGAAUACCGAUGGCGAAGGCAGCCCCCUGGGAUAACACUGACGCUCAUGCACGAAAGCGUGGGGAGCAAACAGG